rnacentral:rRNA from 1 species
AUGAAAAAAAAUCCCAAACAAAAGUCAAAUCGCACGUACCGUUGCAUGUACUUAUUAACUAUUUUAAAUUCUAGUUGUUUUUUCAUCUAUUUUCCAGCUUUAGUAGAGACUUGUUCAACUAUGAAAUAUGUUAUCGUCUUCCUUUUUCUAUUUAAAAAAAAUAUAACUGGAGCAAUCUGUCAUCAGAAAAUAAGCAGUAACUUUCCCACUACUAGGCAACAUAUCGAGCGAACCCACACAGGCUUAUACAAGAAACAACAUACCGAAGGAAAAAACUUUAACGUAACCACAAACUCGAAACAAAAGGCUCGGUACGAAGGAGUGGGCUUUCCCGAACGAAACAGCCGGCCCACUUGGGACUCGUAG